GACAAAGAUCUAAUAAUCCGAUUUUAAAUUUGGAGAUCUUAAUAUAUAAUUUUACUUGUUUUGUUUUUGUCGUAGGCCGAGUCUAAAACCAUAUACCAUCUAGUAAGUUAAAUAUACCAAAAAGUCUGUUCAGUUUUGAAAUUAGUCGGAUGUUUAAGCAAAUU
rnacentral:sRNA from 1 species